rnacentral:rRNA from 1 species
ACCGCCAGCUAAGGUCCCAAAGUCAUGGUUAAGUGGGAAACGAUGUGGGAAGGCCCAGACAGCCAGGAUGUUGGCUUAGAAGCAGCCAUCAUUUAAAGAAAGCGUAAUAGCUCACUGGUCGAGUCGGCCUGCGCGGAAGAUGUAACGGGGCUAAACCAUGCACCGAAGCUGCGGCAGCGACGCUUAUGCGUUGUUGGGUAGGGGAGCGUUCUGUAAGCCUGUGAAGGUGUACUGUGAGGUAUGCUGGAGGUAUCAGAAGUGCGAAUGCUGACAUAAGUAACGAUAAAGCGGGUGAAAAGCCCGCUCGCCGGAAGACCAAGGGUUCCUGUCCAACGUUAAUCGGGGCAGGGUGAGUCGACCCCUAAGGCGAGGCCGAAAGGCGUAGUCGAUGGGAAACAGGUUAAUAUUCCUGUACUUGGUGUUACUGCGAAGGGGGGACGGAGAAGGCUAUGUUGGCCGGGCGACGGUUGUCCCGGUUUAAGCGUGUAGGCUGGUUUUCCAGGCAAAUCCGGAAAAUCAAGGCCGAGGCGUGAUGACGAGGCACUACGGUGCUGAAGCAACAAAUGCCCUGCUUCCAGGAAAAGCCUCUAAGCAUCAGGUAACAUCAAAUCGUACCCCAAACCGACACAGGUGGUCAGGUAGAGAAUACCAAGGCGCUUGAGAGAACUCGGGUGAAGGAACUAGGCAAAAUGGUGCCGUAACUUCGGGAGAAGGCACGCUGAUACGUAGGUGAAGCGACUUGCUCGUGGAGCUGAAAUCAGUCGAAGAUACCAGCUGGCUGCAACUGUUUAUUAAAAACACAGCACUGUGCAAACACGAAAGUGGACGUAUACGGUGUGACGCCUGCCCGGUGCCGGAAGGUUAAUUGAUGGGGUUAGCGCAAGCGAAGCUCUUGAUCGAAGCCCCGGUAAACGGCGGCCGUAACUAUAACGGUCCUAAGGUAGCGAAAUUCCUUGUCGGGUAAGUUCCGACCUGCACGAAUGGCGUAAUGAUGGCCAGGCUGUCUCCACCCGAGACUCAGUGAAAUUGAACUCGCUGUGAAGAUGCAGUGUACCCGCGGCAAGACGGAAAGACCCCGUGAACCUUUACUAUAGCUUGACACUGAACAUUGAGCCUUGAUGUGUAGGAUAGGUGGGAGGCUUUGAAGUGUGGACGCCAGUCUGCAUGGAGCCGACCUUGAAAUACCACCCUUUAAUGUUUGAUGUUCUAACGUGGACCCGUAAUCCGGGUUGCGGACAGUGUCUGGUGGGUAGUUUGACUGGGGCGGUCUCCUCCUAAAGAGUAACGGAGGAGCACGAAGGUUGGCUAAUCCUGGUCGGACAUCAGGAGGUUAGUGCAAUGGCAUAAGCCAGCUUGACUGCGAGCGUGACGGCGCGAGCAGGUGCGAAAGCAGGUCAUAGUGAUCCGGUGGUUCUGAAUGGAAGGGCCAUCGCUCAACGGAUAAAAGGUACUCCGGGGAUAACAGGCUGAUACCGCCCAAGAGUUCAUAUCGACGGCGGUGUUUGGCACCUCGAUGUCGGCUCAUCACAUCCUGGGGCUGAAGUAGGUCCCAAGGGUAUGGCUGUUCGCCAUUUAAAGUGGUACGCGAGCUGGGUUUAGAACGUCGUGAGACAGUUCGGUCCCUAUCUGCCGUGGGCGCUGGAGAACUGAGGGGGGCUGCUCCUAGUACGAGAGGACCGGAGUGGACGCAUCACUGGUGUUCGGGUUGUCAUGCCAAUGGCACUGCCCGGUAGCUAAAUGCGGAAGAGAUAAGUGCUGAAAGCAUCUAAGCACGAAACUUGCCCCGAGAUGAGUUCUCCCUGACCCUUUAAGGGUCCUGAAGGAACGUUGAAGACGACGACGUUGAUAGGCCGGGUGUGUAAGCGCAGCGAUGCGUUGAGCUAACCGGUACUAAUGAACCGUGAGG